ACUAGAGAGUGUUGUUGCCAGUGGGGAAGGUACAAGGAAGACGGGGAGGGCUUAGGGGGACACUUUCUCUUGUCUUCUUGUGCAUCAAAGCUGCUGCAGAUUUUGUUGUUGUUCCUUUCUUUGCUGUGUGGUGGUGGUGAUGGUGGCGGCAGUGUCAUUUGGUCUUCAGCUUCUGUCUGUUUUCGUUGUGUCAUGUCUGAGCGUGUUGUGUUUGGGUCCUCCUGCUUUGAGUCCAUGUAGGGCACUGUCGGAAUGCAUUCCAGGACCCAUCAUUGUAAUUUUUCUUUCUUUUAAGAGGGUGUGUUGAGAAAUCUGCCAGGUUGUGAUGGAACUGUUAGUGGUCCGUGCUCUGAUUCCCAGGUGCCUGGAGUGUUGGCCAUGUGCAUCUUCCUACCAGUGGUUAUGUUGCUCAGCAUUGCCCAGGGUGGCAAUGUAGGGUUGGCAUGUCAUGGCCUGGCAUGGCAUAGCCUAGCAGGCUUCUCCUGUGCUUGGGCAGGGGAUGGGCUGUCCAGGGGCGCUAGCCACUCGUACCUCUGCAAUCCAUGGAAGCACAGCAGGGUCUCCUUGUCGACUCUGGUGAGGUACGGUUAGUUCGCAGGCAAGAAAAGCCACAGUCCCUCGUCGUUCAGGAGUGUCCGGCGUGUGCUUGCUGUGCACAGCGAGCCCGAGUCGCGCAAAUGUUUGCAGCCUCUUUGGGCACACUUGGUUACCAUGUGUUACCAGAGCAACUUUUCACUGAAGAGAAACAGGGAGUACCAGAAAUGAGAAUGGAUAUUUGGCUUUUCAUCUGCUGAAAGCAGAAGUCUUUUGUGAGGGCUGAUAAAUAUGUACUUUCUUCUGUUUUUCUGCUUCAUAAGGCCUGCCCUCAAUUGUCAUCAUUUGUCGUCUGUUAACAAUACGAGCUAUCCUCCACUAAGUGUGACUGUACAUUUUUUCCAUUCUGUUCUUAUUGCAUCAUCAGAAUUACAGGAAUCCCACAUUAAAGUCAUUUGCUAGGUGCCACCUAGACUAUGGAGCAGCUGAGACAGCUUCAUUCCUGGUGUAGCAGGUAGCAGCUGUGCUCCACAUGCUACAGGAGCCUCCUAAGAUGCAUCAUACCUUUCAGAGCCACCCUCUAUCACACAGGCCUGCCCCUCACACAAAUUCUUGUCCACCUCUCCUGGAAUACUGUCUCUAGGUAUUUACACCAUGAAGAAGUAAUGCUGGGUGGUUUCAGAGGAAAUGUCCUUAAUGACUUUUCCUGAGAGUAGACUAGGAUCAAUUCAUUUAGGGCACAUGUAGUUCUAGAUUCACAAUGACGGGAGGCUUCAUAUGGUGGUGUUUAAAGAACAUGCAUAAGUACCUCUGAAUCUGACUGUCCUAUUCAAAUGGACACACUGAGGGACACUCAUACCUAGCUUUUCAUCAAGAUGUAUGCUAAAUAUGGCAAAGUGUCUUGUGUCCCAUUUAAAACAAUAACUCUGGCUGCUUCUCCCACAACUUCGCCAUGAACUUUUUGUCAUGCUCCGCGAAUCAUAAGGUGGUACUAUGACUUUCAUCAGGGAACACACUCUUUGUAGUUGGUCAAUAUCAUGCAACCUGAGCCUAUUUCAACUAUAAUGAAACAUCAUUUCAAAAUAUAUCCCUGGCCAGAGUUUACCUGUCUCUUUGCUCCACUCACCCAGUGCACCAUCCUCUUUUACCUGAAGACAAGCGCCUUCUUGGGGAUUACAUGUUGCAUUGUAUUUUCGAAAAUUCCACCAGAGCAUCAUCUCAGAACAGAACUCACACUCAGCAUUUCCACACUCAGUUUCAUGGCAGUAGGCAAUGACCCUGCAUGUCCAGGGUCAUGUGCAUCCCUGUCCUCAAAUGCUCAACUGUUUCUUGCCUCAGCACAGCUAAACAGUUUCCCUCUUCUGGAACAUUUUGCGCACAGACAUCUGCAUCUCUCAAAUAUUUUCAGCUGCAAGGAAUCUUCCAUGGCAUUGUCUACUACAAUCUACUCUGCCCUUUCGGUAUUCCUAUGCCUUUUUCCUGGGUAGUUCCUUCAAAGCCUGAGUCAGUGCCUGCUGCCAUGUGCUUUCUAGGAGUCAGCUGGCCAACAGCGGUCAUUGUGCCAAGCAUCCUGUUUAAAUUGUGUCCAGGUCACAGCCAGUAGAUUGAAUGGAUAGAUAACUAUGUAUGCAAUAUUAUCUACAAACACAGGGGAAUUAUGAAGGUACACACAAAAGGCCAGGGAAAAGCAGGAGAUUUUAACAUUACGUAUUGUUACAUGGAAUUGUGCAUGUUACACGUUGUGCAGUGAAUAGUGAAAUAAGCAGAACAUACAUGGGAAAAUAUUACAUAUUGUUCCUGUGGUUCAUGAGCUUAGGGACUGAAUCUGGAAGUCCAGAGGUACCCGGUGUAAAAUUUUGCUGACUAUACUCUCCCUAAGAGACAAAAAUAAAUAUCCCCAAGGAAAGCCAUUUCUUUUCCUUCAUAUUUGGAUACUGUAGUGAUGGCCAGCUCUUCUGACUGUGCACUGUUUCUUUCUUUGCUGCCACAUUUGAUUUCUAGGUGCCAGGGCACUUAUACUGGACCAGCAGCUCAGUGCCUUGCUCAGUGACCUCUCUCUCAGGUGUGAUAGGAGAUCUGCCCUUGUUGUUGAAAGGCUACCAGAUUCCACUGCUUUUCAUGCUAGGUACAGUUCACCUAUCUGGGUUUUAGGCAGCAAAGGGAAGUAAAUACUAGCUGAUGCUCCCCAUCAGAUCUGCCUCCAGCCAUUCAUGUAAUCCUAGAAACCUCCAUGCUUUGACUCUGCCGAUUCUUUCACUCCUCCUGGGAACUGCUUCUUACCUGGCUCUCUCCCACAAAGUCUGUGCUCUCCUAGCUCCAAGUCUUUACAUUGCUGUUGUGUCCUCGAAAGUCUUCACCACACCCAAGAACCUAGAAUUCCAUGUCCAAUUCCUAACCUGCAUCGGACUGGACUGUUCAUAGAACACAGUGACCACUACCUUUUAUUAACAACAAAUCAAAUCUGGAUAUCGACCAUAUAGUUGAACUGCACUAUGUACACCACAUCUAGGUUAGCUCACACUCUAUACUCAGCACAAUCACUGUGGAGAGACUUCCUCAUCAGCUGCCAAGCUACCAUGCAUCUGCCUCACCCAGGUUUGUCUAGAAAUUUAGAACUCUUUACCUGAGCAUGAUAUCACGCAACAAUAAUAAUUACUUCAUAUCCUCUGUGCUCUCUAAAGAAGAAACAGGCCCUCAUAAAAGCUGAUUGGAGCACCCAGCAGAGAAUCAAGGUCCUCCUGCCCACAGAGCUUCCCCUCAGUUCUGAAGCUCAGCAGCAAGUGCCAAUAUCUUUGAGACCACGAAUAGGAUAAAAGGCCCUUGAGGGUCAAGGAAGCUCCGCCCAGGCUUGUAGCCGGCAGGGGGCUCCUGCGAGCAGCGCCUCAGACCAGCGGCUUCAUCAAGUACACCUGUUGGACUCGCAACACAAGUCCAGCCUCGCAUCUCCACCCGCUCUCAAACCCCGGCCUUGGGCGACAGUGCGUGAGCGUUGCUGUCUCUUCGCGCUGAACCGCAGGUAAGACGGGUAGGGUCGGCUCUCCGGCUCCUGGCUGCUGUUCCUACUUUUCGCAGCUAGUCCACAGCCCCUUCCCAACUGAGGGCAGAGGCAACCUUGUGAAGCAGGAGGUUAGGGCCUGGCCAGCCUCUGGACAAGUGGGAGAGGCCUGUCAUUAUGAAGAUCCGAGACUCUGGCCUAACCACGGCGCCUGGGCACAGUAAGAAAAUGCUGUCCGAUUCUGGAUGAGAUCAAGCAGGGGUUGGGGUGGAGGUGGUGGUGGUUGCGUUUGUUAAAAGGACUGGAUUUUUUCUUUUUUUCUUUUCUCCUUUUUCCUAGCAGUGCUGAAGACUGAACCCGGGCCCUGGCUCAGCCUUGCUAGACAAGUGUUCAAUGCCUGAGCAUGCUCCACGCAUGCUUUUGAUAGAACCGAUAAUCUCUGAACUCAGCCUAGGGAGCGGGGGAUCCAAAAGACUUCCUCCAUUAACCUCCUACCCACUGUGUUCUCUUUAUUCAGUGGCCUCACUAACUCUGCAGAGCAUACUGCUUCUUCCAUUUUUCGUAAAUGUAAAACCUUGCUACCUUUUGAGCACUUCUCCAAUUCUUUAUUCAAAGGAAUCUGCAAAGAAUUGCUACAAGGAGCCCAGUAAUCUUUUUUAAAGACAGUCUCACUAUGCAGUUCAAGCUGGCCUUGAACUCCACAUAGACUAGGUUGGUCUCAAACUUGCAGCAAUUUUCCUGCCUCAGCCUCCCAAGUGCUGACCAGUAAAGUUUAAAGGCCCCUCAGUCCACAUUUCUCUUUAUUCUCUUUCUCAUUGAAGAUUGUUUAGGCCCCACAUUAAAUAUGGGGUUGAGGAGAGAACACUGGAUCCCCAAAUCCCUUUUAAGGCCACACUGCCCAAACACUUCUUUCCACUAGCCCUCAUGUUUUAAGAGCUCCACCACUUCCCUGUAGCACCACAAGCUGGUUUCCAAGCCUUUGGAGUAUGGGCCUGUGGGGGACAUUUUACAUCAAAACCAUAGCAAGCCAUAAGGUCGCUCAGUGUAAUGUCAAUUGAAAUAGGUCCCUGGAAAUCCAUGAGAGGUAUAUUAGGUAGAAUGGUCCAUGAGUCUGGGUUUCCUGAGGUUGCUCAUAUUUAUGGGCUCCUCUUUGAAGUGUUAUCUAAUGAGGGAGCUGAGUCUGAGUUUUCUCAUAUAGAUUGGGGACCAUUUAGUUGAGUCUGGGCUAUGCUAAUGGCAAAAGUAAACCCACAUGGGUACAACUGGACCUUCCUUAGCUAAAGCUACAUCACCUGGAGAUGGUCCAAUGGUUCCUGAGCUGACUCUGGGUCCUCUGAUUUAUGCAGGAUUCCCCUGGGUUGGGAAGCUGGUCCCCUGAGCUCAUUAUGGAUCCUAUGCACCAAAUGGAUUAUUUACAGUAUAUCUUGGUUCCAUGAUAUUUGAAUAAGUCUUUUCCCCUCAGGAGGAACUUGUGUUCCCAGAGGGAACUGUUCAAAGUUGGCAGGUCUCACUGUGCUUUGGAUUGUCAGGAGCCCGUGAACUGAAUCUGUGCACAGUGAUAUGUGGUAUGUAUGCAGUCUAAUGAGAUGGUUUUGAGACCUCAUGAGGUACAUCAGGUAUCUUCUCUGUGCAUGGGCCCACUGAUUAGAGUUACCCCCACCCAAGUUCUGAUGUAGGACUGUUGGAGCAUGACCACACAAAGUCUGAAGUGAGCCUGGAUACCUUGAGAUGAGACUUUUUCCAUUAAUUUGGCCUUGGUUCCUCUGAGUUAUA